rnacentral:lncRNA from 1 species
ACUGGGUUGAUGCUUACUUUUGUAGUUAUUAUAUACAGAUACCUUGUCGAGCUACAUACUAAAGAAAAAAACAUGUGGCUGCAAGUUUAUUUGUAGUUAAAAAUGGUAACUAAAACUUGCAAACAAUUUGCAAUUAAAAAAAACAUUUACGUAGUAAUUUAUAAACAACGGUCAAGUAUUUAACAAUAUCUUAAACACGGAAGUUAUAAUUCAUUCAACACUGUAUACGGAAAUGUAUAAUAAUAUGCUGGAUAUCUUAUGUAUUAUCCUAUCUUUGGUGGUACAGCUGUCAGUGUUUUGCUCAGCGCAGCAGCUUAUGGUUACUGCUGGGGACAAUGUUACCAUUCCAUGCACAUCUGUAUCGGCGUAUCCUGUAUGGACUGGUCCAGAAAUGCACAAUGGUAACGUAAUGAAUUACAACAAUCCUGGUCACAAAACCUUUGCCAAUCCUUACCUUCCUGUACAGAAAAAAGUGCGGUUGGAGUGGGGCAGUGAUGACAAAAGCCUUGUUAUAAAGAAUGUGACGAUGACCGAUGAAGGGUUGUACCAGUGUUCCGAUCGGACAAAUCUUUUUGUUAGAGUGCCACCACGUACACCACUCAUUUCAAUUGCCGAGGCUUCGACAAACAAUAGUUUGAUUAUCAGAGCUACCGAGUCUCAAGUUAUGAGUCUUAUCUGUGUGUCAAGUGGCGGUUAUCCAGAACCACUGGUGGAAUGGUACAGGGGAAACACCGAAACAAUACCACUAAUUUCUACUUCUACAGUCACUGCUGGAACCCGUUCCUACAAUGUUACAGAGAAGUACAUGUUUACACCAGAGAGACAAGAUGAUGGUACCAGGUAUAUCUGCCAAUCUUCUUUCAAGACAGAUCCAAGGCAUAUAUCUGCCGUUAGCGUCGAGCUUGUACUUAAUUUGAAACCGAAUUUGCCUAUAGCUUGGCAAACAUCAACUAUCAGCGGGUAAUAUUGUCGAGGUCAAAUGUAGUACAAAUGGAAGUAGGCCUGCUGCAAAUAUGUCUUGGUCUUACCAGGGAGAAAUACCCGCUGGUGAAGUAACAGCAACUCUUGAUGCUACAUCAAAGACAUAUGCAGUCGUCUCCUUAUUCAAAAGACGUGUCACAGCCGAGGAUAAUGGACAGACUGUUCAGUGUAUAGUUACUCAUAUAUCAUUGGUCAAACCACCACAAUUAACUGCGUCAGUAGUUCUGAAUGUUCAUUAUCCGCCAGUUGUCACGGUAACAGCAACGAAUACCACAGUCGAAGCAAAGCAUGCUGUGUUAAUAUGUAAUGCUACAGGGUCACCAAAUACAGACUAUAAAUAUGGUAAAUGGGUGCACACGUGGCCAGGAAUAAAUACGGUUUUAUCAGAGAAACCCGGUAGUGAGAGGCUAAUGUUGACAAAUUUGACAUACGAACAUUCCGGCGUGUACACGUGUUCUGCAAGCAAUGGAGUCAAAGUGUUUGGAACUACCAAAGAAUUUAUAGAGGGGUCUGUUCAACUUUUGGUUAAAUCAUUUCCUGUCAUCACAAAUCCGACAGUCAACUCUGUAAAUGCAUCUGCAGCAGUAAACUGGAACAGCCAGAGUAACGGUUGACUACUUCUCCAACGUGGACGAGUCUGAUGUAAAAUGCUUCAAAGUUCUAAAUGACAAAAGGCAGGAUGAAAACAUUUGUAAUUUUGUUCAGGAAAAAGUGAUUGUGCAUUUGCCAGUUCUUGGGCAUAUCAUCAAAACUGAUGGAAUACGAGCAACCAUUUCAUUAGGGAUAAACUCGAAGAAUGACUUUGGUUUUUAUGACGUAGUUUUCUCUAACGAGAUAGGCUCUGCAUCACUAAGGUUACAGAUUUUACCGAUUGAACCUCCAGCUGUGCCAUAUGAUUUGAAGACUGAACACAUUCAGAGUGCAUCUGUUCGCAUUUCAUGGAAGCAAGGGUUUGAUAGUGAGUUUUCGCAGACUUUUGUGAUCCAGAUGAGUGCAGAUAACAUUAUUUGGUUUAAUGCGACCACGGUAGAUGUUGAUACUGCGGAACAUGAGGGGAAAUUCAGUACAGGACUAGAAAAUCUCCAAGAGUCGACGUUAUAUUAUGUACGAAUGUAUGCUUAUAACGAAGGAGGGAAGAGUAGUUUUACCAAGAGCUUUAACUUUACAACACUCACGAAAGAUAAAGACACAACUGCAAGCACAGACGACAAUUCUACACUAAUAGUUGGAGUAGUUUUAGGAUUAGUUAUACAUUAUAUGCUGCCUAUGUUACAAUCUUACUGAAACGGAAAAGUAAGCAAAUAGAAGGCACAUUAAAAGGGACAGAUAUCUCUGAGCAGUCGAGCGCUAAAAUGUACGUAAAUAUGGGUUUGCUGACAGAAGACAGAGGCAGCCAAAGUUCAAAGGCACAAGCAGGCGGAAAUAAAACAAUGGCUGACAGUAAAGAGUUUGAGAAUCAAUACACCGAUCUAUAUAACCAAUUAAGAGAUGUAGGGUCGGCUUAUGAUGCAAUAUCGUCCAUAUAGCACUGUUAAACAUAAUUUGACAUUACAAUGUCUAUGCAGCAAACUGCAUACGUAUUGUGAUAAAAAAGUAUAUUGUCAGCCUGCUUAGUUCAAAAAAGAGAGAGAAGCUCUACGGAUCACCGGGUUGUGAGUUCGAUCCCCGGAAGAGGUGUUCGUUUUCCGUAAUAAUUUAUAAAAGACAUGGUGUAUGAAAUUCUCCAGUCUCCACCUCAAUUCAUGAGGAGAAGUUGACAGUUACUUGAUGAGAACAAAGUAGUAGUGGAACAUAAUCCAGAUACACUGAUUAGGUUAAUUGCCCACCGUCUCAUAACUGAAAUACUUUUGAAAAACAGCGCUAUCUCUAUUUAAACCGCAAAACAACAGCAAAAACAAUCUUUGUUAUAAUAACACGUGUAGAAUAAGUUCAGAAUUUAAUUUUAUUGCUUUUUUUGUAUGUAUUACUCUGGUGAUGUGAACAAAUGAAACUUAGCAAUAACAUUUUUCAAAAUGUACAGUUACAUACUACUUGACAUUCAAGUAACAUUUGAUGCACCCUCGGAGAUCCACGGCUAGUUAUUUUCGUCUUUCUUCAUCGUCCGUUGGUCAUUUAGUUUCUGAGUUCACAUUUUCCUUAAUUAGUUCACAUUUUCUCCAUUUAUUGUUUGCAAACUAAAUUGUCUCCCGAAUGACCUUGCAAACAACGGACAGACAAGCCAAACAAUAGAGGGGCAUAAAAAUGAUACUGUUGAAGAAGGUAACAAAACCUUUAAAACAGAAGGGGGCGUAAAAUCAUAGUUUGUUAACACGAUAAAUCAUAGAACUUGCUUUCAUUAUUAAUCUAGGAACUUCAAACAAUUUAUUUUGCUCGGUUGCAUUCUAUGAUUCCAAAGGAUUUUGAUCAACUACCACAAAAGCUGUUGACGGCAUCGUACCUGGACACAGUGUUGUUUUCUGGUCCCUUUGGUUCGCGGAGUUCUUUUAGUAUUUCUAGAUUAAACAGACGGGUGUUAGGGAGCCUGAGAUUGUUGCACAUUUCAUGAACUCUCAUGAACUGGUCUGCUGUUAGUUUGCUUGGUUGCGUUCUAAACUACGAAAUAAUAAAAGUCAAGGUCACUGUAAAUUCUAAUAAAAUAUUGUUAUAUUGCUGGCUGAUGUUGUACUGGUAUUUCGUGGUUCUUAUUCCGUCUGUAUCAAAUAUUCUCCCUAUGAAUCAUUUUAUCACAAAUGAAGAUUUGUCUAAAUAAGAAGGUAGACACCUUUUUGUUUAAUGACCCCCAAAGGUCAAGGUUAUUGGAGAUAAUUUUCCAGUCAAACCCAUUAACAAGUUAUUUGUCAUUCUUCUUCUGAGCCUUUGUUUUCUUUGGACAUUCCAUAUUGUUUUCUAUUACACACAGCCAACCCCACACUCAACCCAACCUCUCCCCCUCCCUCUGUAAAUGAAGGCCACAUGUAAUGAAAGGUCACAGUUUGGCUUUCCCAAGCAAGGUUUGUUUGUAUAUAAAAUAAGCAAUACUGUUGUUCCAUAGCACUAUUCAAUAAAGGUGUAUACUGUAAAAUCAUUUAAUUUCAUAUGCAUAAAACUCGGUGUUUUUAAUCAAAACUGCUAUUUUAUUGAUGGGAUUUUCUGUUCAAUUGGAUCAGAAACCCUUAAAUCCAAGAAAAUAUCCCACACGAAAAUUAAUAAUUUCGGUACAGAAGUUAUAUGUUAGUCAUACAAAUACAGUCAAACAUGUAUUAAGCAGCAAGCCAAGGAAGCAAAACAACAUGUCUACAUAAGUCAGAUGACUGCUUAAGACAAGCUGAAGGUAGAACAAAAAAAAAAACAUAAGUUAAUUGCCUGGCUACUGAAGACAAAUGGCUGCAUGCUUAAAUUUUAGAAUCACUGUAUCAACUCAUUCAAUAUUCUGAGGUAAAGUAGAGUAACCCACGAAUGUAUAAAACCGUAUACUAUGUUAGGAUGUCACAGUUUUGUCCAUUUCUUUGAAAGACAUAUCCCCAAUCAAAGUUACUGUUCAUUCCAGGUUCAGUCUACUUAUUUGAUAAUCUUGAAGAUGUAAUAUCUAGGCUGUUUCUAAAGGACUGACGAUAUUCUCGAAUUGGGAGGCUCCUUUGCCCGAUUUUGCAAUAAGGUUAAGUUGGCUAAAGGUCAAGAUCAUAGUGGCUUCGAGACUGAAAGUAGUUUCUUAUCAGUAAUUAUGCUUUGGCAUACAGUGGUCAAAUUUCAGGAGAUGAUUGCCUGUGGUAUGUUGAUGACACCCAUUCCUGUUUGAGUGAGUAGAUCAAAGGUCAAGGUCACAGAGACCUUUAGACCAAAGUUUGUUUGAGAACACAUAGGCAUGUAGGGUCUCUAGACUUUAUGGCGUGAUUUUCUAAGGUGAGUAGAUGAUCCCAAAUUUUUGUAGCAUUGAGUCAAGUGAGUGAGUGAGCUGGAUUUUACAGCGACUGGACACAAAAAUACCAUAUACACCGAAGGAAAGUCAAGCUAAAGAACGUACUAAUAAUAUCAUUGAAAUAAAAACAUCUAUAAACAGCAAAAAUAUCAAGUGUUAUCCUUGUAAUAUUGACUGGUGCAAGUAGUCUAAAGAAGAUUUAUUUCAUGUUCAGAUUUUAUGAUAAGUACACGUUCUAUUUAUAAAUGUAGUGCUUGACAUCGUAUACAUUCAAGUUGAUCUUCUUUACUUGGAAUAAAAUGGUGUAAUUUUACAAGCAUGGUAAACACAACAUCAGUCUUCUAAGGAAAAACAGUGUAGUCGUUAUUAUUCUUCGUUGAAGAUAUUGAGGGAAUGAGAGGUUUAGACGAAUGUCCAUCCUCCUUCCCAUAUCUACAACAUUUGGGUUGUUAUGAAUGAUGGGACCACUAGAUCCCUUCCAAUACCAUCUGUAUUCAGUUCAAUUUUAUGCUUAGGUGUUUGCGGACAAAUUACUAGUUAAAUUGUUUGUACGUUGUGAUUGAGGUUUGUUAUUAGGUACGUUUUGUAUUGCAGGUGAAGACAUUUUGGGACAGUGUCUGAAUCGAUUAGAGUGAACACAUUAAUACACUGUUGUUUUUUUUUUUUGCUUGAGAUAGAUUUUGUUAUUGU